rnacentral:rRNA from 1 species
UUGGACUCUGUCGUGUUAUACGACUGGUCUGAAAUGCCUGAGUGCACCCUGCUGUUGCAGCGUCAUCAGUGUGAUAAGCAUCUUCACUGAUUCAAGUUCCUUUGGGACACGUAGCAUUGUGGGCUCUGUGCUGACGAACCGUCUUUGGACAAUCUUUGACAAUUUGACCUCAGAUCGGGUGGGACUACCCGCUGAACUUAAGCAUAUCAAUAAGCGGAGGAAAAGAAACUAACAAGGAUUCCCCUAGUAACGGCGAGUGAAGAGGGAAAAGCUCAAAUUUUGAAUCUGGUGUCUUUGGCGCCCGAGUUGUAAUCUAGAGAAGUGUUUUCUGCCUCGGACCACACAUAAAUUCCCUGGAUGGGGUGUCAUAGAGGGUGAGAAUCCCGUUUGUGGUGUGGACUACCUUGGCUCUGUGAUACACUCUCUACGAGUCGAGUUGUUUGGGAAUGCAGCUCAAAAUGGGUGGUAAAUUCCAUCUAAAGCUAAAUAUUGGUGAGAGACCGAUAGCGAACAAGUACCGUGAGGGAAAGAUGAAAAGCACUUUGGAAAGAGAGUGAAACAGUACGUGAAAUUGUUGAAAGGGAAGCGUUUGAAGUCAGUCACAUCGGUCGGAAUUCAGCCUGGCUUUGCCUGGUGUACUUUUUGGCGGAUGGGUCAGCGUCAAUUUUGACUGAGGGAAAAAGACUUGAGGAAUGUGGCUGUCUUCGGGCAGUGUUAUAGCCUCUUGUUGUAUGUCUCAGUUGGGAUUGAGGACCGCAGCACGCCUUAUGGCCGGGGUUCGCGCCCUCGGAACGUGC